GAUGAACGCUGGCGGCGUGCCUAAUACAUGCAAGUCGAGCGAACAGGCGAGGAGCUUGCUCCUCUGACGUUAGCGGCGGACGGGUGAGUAACACGUGGAUAACCUACCUAUAAGACUGGGAUAACUUCGGGAAACCGGAGCUAAUACCGGAUAAUAUAUUGAACCGCAUGGUUCAAUAGUGAAAGACGGUUUUGCUGUCACUUAUAGAUGGAUCCGCGCCGCAUUAGCUAGUUGGUAAGGUAACGGCUUACCAAGGCAACGAUGCGUGGCCGACCUGAGAGAGUGAUCGGCCACACUGGAACUGAGACACGGUCCAGACUCCUACGGGAGGCAGCAGUAGGGAAUCUUCCGCAAUGGGCGAAAGCCUGACGGAGCAACGCCGCGUGAGUGAUGAAGGUCUUCGGAUCGUAAAACUCUGUUAUUAGGGAAGAACAAAUGUGUAAGUAACUAUGCACGUCUUGACGGUACCUAGUCAGAAAGCCACGGCUAACUACGUG
rnacentral:rRNA from 1 species